rnacentral:rRNA from 1 species
UGGGGAAUAUUGCACAAUGGGCGCAAGCCUGAUGCAGCCAUGCCGCGUGUGUGAAGAAGGCCUUCGGGUUGUAAAGCACUUUCAGCGGGGAGGAAGGCGGUGAGGUUAAUAACCUCAUCGAUUGACGUUACCCGCAGAAGAAGCACCGGCUAACUCCGUGCCAGCAGCCGCGGUAAUACGGAGGGUGCAAGCGUUAAUCGGAAUUACUGGGCGUAAAGCGCACGCAGGCGGUCUGUCAAGUCGGAUGUGAAAUCCCCGGGCUCAACCUGGGAACUGCAUUCGAAACUGGCAGGCUAGAGUCUUGUAGAGGGGGGUAGAAUUCCAGGUGUAGCGGUGAAAUGCGUAGAGAUCUGGAGGAAUACCGGUGGCGAAGGCGGCCCCCUGGACAAAGACUGACGCUCAGGAGCGAAAGCGUGGGGAGCAAACAGG